UGGGGAAUUUUGGACAAUGGGCGAAAGCCUGAUCCAGCAAUGCCGCGUGUGUGAAGAAGGCCUUCGGGUUGUAAAGCACUUUUGUCCGGAAAGAAAUCCUUGGCUCUAAUACAGUCGGGGGAUGACGGUACCGGAAGAAUAAGCACCGGCUAACUACGUGCCAGCAGCCGCGGUAAUACGUAGGGUGCAAGCGUUAAUCGGAAUUACUGGGCGUAAAGCGUGCGCAGGCGGUUUGCUAAGACCGAUGUGAAAUCCCCGGGCUCAACCUGGGAACUGCAUUGGUGACUGGCAGGCUAGAGUAUGGCAGAGGGGGGUAGAAUUCCACGUGUAGCAGUGAAAUGCGUAGAGAUGUGGAGGAAUACCGAUGGCGAAGGCAGCCCCCUGGGCCAAUACUGACGCUCAUGCACGAAAGCGUGGGGAGCAAACAGGAUUAGAUACCCCUGGGUAGUCCACGCCCUAAAACGAUGUCAACUAGUUGUUGGGGAUUCAUUUCCUUAGUAACUAGCUAACGCGUGAAGUUGACCGCCU
rnacentral:rRNA from 1 species